GCAUGUUUAGCUUUCCAAGCAUCUCCUGACUGUGAGCAGGGGAAUUAUGAGUGAAUGUUUUAACACCCAUUUUUUCACCUUUCUGCCAGCGUUCUUUCCACAUAUGAGAGAUCACGGGUAGCCUGCGGUCGCUGGGCCCGGCGGGCGCGGGAGGCCGAGCCCCCUAUCUCGGCGCUGGCCGGGCCAUGGCGGAGGGAGGCGGAGGAGGAGCAGAGGCCGCUGCCGCCGCCGCCACCACCGCCGCCGCCACCGCCGCCGCCUCCCCCUCAGGCGCGGAGCUGGCGGGGCGCUGAGGCGGGGGGAGAGCAGCCCCGCGUGCGCGGCCGUUGGCGGCGGGGGCGGCGCGCAGCAGCUUGGCGGGAAGGGGAAAGGGGAGGGGCGGGGGCCGCGGGAGGGCUCCGACAGUCCGAGCUCCCGCGCGCCGCGCCGCCCGGCCGGGCACUUUGUUUGUGUCCCACAGUGCAGCGCGGCGCGGGGGGGCGGGGCCAAAGGGAGGGCGGGGCCGAGGGUUUGCGCGUGCGCAGUGAGCGCGGUUGGGGGGGCGCGGCGGGAGUGGAGCUCCGGAGGGCGCAGCGGGGCGCCGCGUGAACGUGCGGGGAGCGCAGCGGGCGCCCGGCCGUAUGCACGGGUGGGCCGCGGUUGUGCAUCAGCGGGCAGUAAUGCAUGCGUGCGUGGAUUGGAGCUGUGCACAUGGGACACCGCGGUGGAUGCAUGCAUGCGUGCACGGAGUGGGACCGUGCACCCUCAGGCACGGGUUGCAGCGAGCAGUCAGGCGGUGCGUGCGUGCAUUAAUCGGGAGCAUGCACUAAUCAGGAGCGUGCACACAGAGCACCUCAGUGCAUGCAUGAAGGGACCAAGAAUGUGCAUGCCAGCCACCCCGGUGCAUGCAUGCAUGAAUGAACCAGGACUGUGCAUACGUUCCCCUCCCGGCACUGUGCACUCUGCACACCCCAGUGCAUGGUGCAUGCACAUCCAGGCUUGUGCACACUGCAUGAGUGCAUGCAAACCAUGCACAGUGCAUGCCAUGGUGCAUGCACCCCCGGGCCCUCAUCCCAGUGGAUGCACUGCACACAAAUUGCAACCCAAAAUUUGUUUGAAAAGUGCCUCCUGAAAAGCAGCGCAGUGCUCCCAGCUCCCAACCUCCCUGCACUGCAACAGAACCCCUGUGGCCGUUUUUGACUGUUGCUUGCAAAACCAGAGGGAGAACAGAACCCCAGUGGGCUGCAAGAUUGCGCUCACUGCUGCUUAAAUUUCUCCUUUUCCUUCCCCUGGCUUUGCAUUCGCAUGGAGCUGCAUGGUAAGCCUGGUGCAUUGCUCUCUGCAGAUUGCUUUGGUGAAAAGCUGGAGUGAAAUGGCAUCAACUGAAAUUGUGUGAGUGCGCAUGCAAAGGUUGCUCUCACUUUUUUCAGCUGACAAAUAAGGGGUAAUUUGCAAGGCGAGGAAGAACGCUCGCCCUCCAAAUUCUGCUCCAAAAAGCGCACAGCCGGGGGUGUAUCAUGUUUGCAAAUGGAGCGAUGGAAAACGUUACAGCCUUAAAGCGCUCUGCAAGAGCAGCUCCUGCAGAGCUCAGCCAUCCGGCACGGCUUCCUUUGGGGCAGCGCUGCUCUUCCUGCUGCUGAAGCCUUUCGGAUUGGGAACAUCUGACUUCAGGAGCGUGCAAGUCCAGCUCGGAGUGCACGCACAGGAACUGUCCCACCAGGAAGCCACCAGCAUGCUGAUUGCUACCGCUGCAAAAAAAAAUGUGCUGCUGGCUCAGCUUUGCUCGCUGCUUCCGCCUGUUUUGCAGCAGGAGGUCCCAGAGCGCAGUGCUGGGGGCCCUGGGCAGGAUGCAGCGGUGUCCAUCGGUGUGACACGUCCCAGGGCGCUGUAUUGCUGCCCAUCCUUUAGCACCUUAAAAACAAAUUCACCCUUUGUUUUGCUGCUGGGAAGGGAACUAGAAAACAGCCCGAGAAAAGCGUUAAUAAAAGCCAAGAGGAGAUAGGCAGGAAACCCUUUAUUGAAGAGGUAAAGGCAGAGUCACAACCAGAGUUGCCCUCAAACUCAAACACAAAGAUAAAUUCAGAAAAUGAUACUUUUUUUCCCCUUGCAAUGGAUGUCCCGAGCUCGGUUGUGCCGGAUCCGUUCUGCAGCUGAUGGGAUCUGUGCACCCCAAGGGUGACACUGGGUGCUGUCGGGGCCAUGCGAGGAGUGAUGCUUUGGUGGAGGGACGUGGGAGCAGCACGGUCAAACUGUUCAACACAGACAGUCCGGUUUUUUUGUCUCAUGUUUCUCUCCUUUUCAGACAGCUACUGUACAAAACAAACCAGGAAUCUGUAAUAAAUACACAAAAGGCUCAGUACACUGCUACAAUCCUUCACUGAAGGGAAACAUAUAUACACAUAUAUAUCCUAAUAUAUAACCUCUUUGAUAAAUCAGCAUAAAGGCUAUGUGUUGCUAUGGGAAGGCACGAGCAGACCCCAUGUCCCCAGGCAGGACCCACCAGCCCCCCAAAAAGCCCCAGAAGGCCGAAACUGAGCAAUAUUUCUGCAAGGAGC
rnacentral:lncRNA from 1 species